CAGGUGACACCCCAACCUUGCAUGAUUGGAGUGAGCAUUAAGUCCUAUAAACCAGCUGAAUCAGGAUCUACUGACUUCCCCUAUGGAGAAGAGGCAUAAAUUUCCCCUCAUCCACUGUCCCUACCCCUACCACCUCCUUCCCAGCACCAGCCCAGCGAUGCAGAGAGCGUGGUUUCAGUUACAUUCACACGAUCAUGUAAAUGGAGCCUACGGCAGAGCCAGCUUCAGACCCUCUGCCUCUUGUCUAAAUCUCCAGACCUCAGACACAUGGGGUGUUCUGCAUCUUCCUUGGUCUGGAUUUACUCCCUUGUCUUGGGAGCUUGUAGUCUGCUGGCUUUCCAACAAGAGUGCAGGGGAGAGUUCAACUGUCUGGAAAGGUCCAUGCCAUCCUACACUUGAUUGAUAGCUUGGCUGGCUGUCCCAGGGCGUCCGUGCUGCUACAGCAGAAUGCCGUUGACUGGGCGGCGUAGAAACAACAGGCACUUAUCUCUCACAGUUUUGGAGCCUGGAAGUCCAAGAUCAAAGCGCCAGCAGACUCAGUGUCCGGUGACACCAGCUUCCCAGUUUGUAGAUGCCAUCUUUUUGCUGUGACCUCAUGUGGAGGAAGGGGUGUGUGAGCUCUCUGGGGUCUCUUUUAUAAGACCACUAAUCCCACUCAUGAGGGCUCCACCCUCGUGGCCCAAUCACCUCACAGAGACCCCACCUACUGACACCAUCGCAUUGGGGGUUAGGAUUUCAACCUGUGAAUUUGGGGGUGGGGGACACAAACAUUCAGUCUGUCACAGUGGGUAUAAAAUUCUAAUUUGGAAAUCAUUUCCCUAUAGAAAAGGGUGGUCAGAGGCCAAUCUUGCAGGAAGUUCUCUAUCAUCUUCUAGUUGCUAGUAUAACCAUUGUCAAGUCCAAAGCCAUCCUGAUCCCAAAUACUUCAUGUGUGACC